CGGGGUGAGUAAUGUCUGGGAAACUGCCUGAUGGAGGGGGAUAACUGCUGGAAACGGUAGCUAAUACCGCAUAACGUCGCAAGACCAAAGAGGGGACCUUCGGGCCUCUUGCCAUCGGAUGUGCCCAGAUGGGAUUAGCUAGUAGGUGGGGUAACGGCUCACCUAGGCGACGAUCCCUAGCUGGUCUGAGAGGAUGACCAGCCACACUGGAACUGAGACACGGUCAG
rnacentral:rRNA from 1 species